rnacentral:rRNA from 1 species
UCCGUAGGUGAACCUGCGGAAGGAUCAUUACUAGAGCAAAGGAUAGACAGCGCCCGCGGAGCUCGCUCCCGGGGGCUACCCUACUCCCGUAGGGUUUAGAGUCGUCGGGCCUCUCGGAGAAGCUCGGUCCUGAACUCCACCCUUGAAUAAACUACCUUUGUUGCUUUGGCGGGCCGCCUCGUGCCAGCGGCUUCGGCUGUUGAGUGCCCGCCAGAGGACCCCAACUCUUGUUUUUAGUGAUGUCUGAGUACUAUAUAAUAGUUAAAACUUUCAACAACGGAUCUCUUGGUUCUGGCAUCGAUGAAGAACGCAGCGAAAUGCGAUAAGUAAUGUGAAUUGCAGAAUUCAGUGAAUCAUCGAAUCUUUGAACGCACAUUGCGCCCUCUGGUAUUCCGGGGGGCAUGCCUGUUCGAGCGUCAUUAUAACCACUCAAGCUCUCGCUUGGUAUUGGGGUUCGCGGUUUCGCGGCCCCUAAAAUCAGUGGCGGUGCCCGUCGGCUCUACGCGUAGUAAUACUCCUCGCGAUUGAGUCCGGUAGGUCUACUUGCCAGCAACCCCUAAUUUUUUUAAGGUUGACCUCGGAUCAGGUAGGGAUACCCGCUGAACCUAAGCAUAUCAAUAAGCGGAGGA